rnacentral:rRNA from 1 species
CACGAACGCUGGCGGCGUGCUUAACACAUGCAAGUCGAACGGAAAGGCCCUGCUUUUGUGGGGUGCUCGAGUGGCGAACGGGUGAGUAACACGUGAGUAACCUGCCCUUGACUUUGGGAUAACUUCAGGAAACUGGGGCUCAUACCGGAUAGGAGCUCCUGCUGCAUGGUGGGGGUAGGAAAGUUUCGGCGGUUGGGGAUGGACUCGCGGCUUAUCAGCUUGUUGGUGGGGUAGUGGCUUACCAAGGCUUUGACGGGUAGCCGGCCUGAGAGGGUGACCGGCCACAUUGGGACUGAGGUACGGCCCAGACUCCUACGGGAGGCAGCAGUGGGGAAUAUGGCACAAUGGGCGGAAGCCUGAUGCAGCAACGCCGCGUGCGGGAUGACGGCCUUCGGGUUGUAAACCGCUUUCGCCUGUGACGAAGCGUGAGUGACGGUAAUGGGUAAAGAAGCACCGGCUAACUACGUG